AACGGUUGCGGGCAGAGGCCUAAUUUGCUAUAAUAAGAGUAAUUAUUUUUGUUCGUAAUAUGAUUAAAAAGGCAUUCGUCUUGAAGAAUAUUAUCUAGAGCAGGGAUAGUAAUACAAUUGUGCGGAUGACGCACGAGGAGGAUACACACAUGUUACAAGGUAAAGUUAAAUGGUUUAACGCAGAAAAAGGUUUCGGUUUCAUCGAAGCAGAAGGUCAAGAAGACGUAUUCGUACAUUUCUCUGCUAUUCAAGGCGAAGGCUUCAAAAGCUUAGAAGAAGGCCAAGAAGUUACUUUUGAAAUCGUUGAAGGCGCUCGUGGACCACAAGCUGCUAACGUUCAAAAGUAAUUGAACGAAAGGACUCCCAUGCCGGGAGUCCUUUUUU
rnacentral:sRNA from 1 species